UGGGGUUGUGGAUAGAUCGUAAAAGAAGAGGUAUCUUAAUCGAAGAGGGCUGGAACGCCUACCAUAGAAGGUAAUAGUCCUGUAGAUAAAAGGAGAAAAACUUCGAGAUCUAAUCCAGAGUACCACGAGACACGUGAAACCUUGUGGGAAGCAGGGAGGACCACCUCCCCAAGGCUAAAUACUACCUAGUGACCGAUAGUGAAGCAGUACCGUGAGGGAAAGGUGAAAAAGAACCCCGGAAGGGGAGUGAAAUAGAACCUGAAACCGUGUGCCUACAACCGAUCGGAGCACGUUAAAGUGUGACGAUGUGCUUUUUGUAGAACGAGCCAGCGAGUUACGCUAUGUAGCAAGGUUAAGUACUUAAGGUAUGGAGCCGAAGGGAAACCGAGUCUGAAAAGGGCGAAAAGUUGCAUGGUGUAGACCCGAAACCGGGUGACCUAUCCAUGGCCAGGUUGAAGCGAGAGUAAAAUCUCGUGGAGGACCGAACCACGUUGGUGUUGAAAAACCAUGGGAUGAGCUGUGGAUAGCG
rnacentral:rRNA from 1 species